rnacentral:rRNA from 1 species
UACGUAGGGGGCAAGCGUUGUCCGGAUUUAUUGGGCGUAAAGAGCGUGUAGGCGGCUAGAUAGGUCCGUUGUGAAAACUCGAGGCUCAACCUCGAGACGUCGAUGGAAACCAUCUGGCUAGAGUCCGGAAGAGGAGAGUGGAAUUCCUGGUGUAGCGGUGAAAUGCGUAGAUAUUGGGAGGAACACCAGUGGCGAAGGCGGCUCACUGGACCGGAACUGACGCUGAGGCGCGAAAGCGUGGGGAGCAAACAGGG